GAGGGGCGCGGCGCUGCCCCCCCGACACACAGACAGACACACACCCCGGGUUUGUCUGUAGUUGCGCGCCAGCUGAUAAAUACCAAAUGCCGACGGAUUUCUCAAGAUGACCUUUUCGCUCUUCCAGCACUGCAUUUGAUGUGAAGUCACUACUGAGAAGAUCAGCUCUUAUGAAGAAGCUGAAACCCAAACAAUUCUUCUGUCCUAAUUUGGAGAUCAGAUUGUCCAUUUGAUUCAUAUAUACAGAACAUCUGUUUAAACCCACACUGGAUAGCUGCCAGAUUACUGGAAAGGAUAUGGUAUAAAGAAGACUUUUGUUUCCUCCGAGCAAGGAGAAAAAAUAAGUUACAAGUUGGUGCAGAUUGCCGAGAAGAAGCAACUUUUUCUCUCCAGAAGCAGAUGUCCUGUAGUGUUUGAAAAUGAAAUGUUUUUGUGUCUUGCAGGCAAAGGUUCUGUGCUUCAACAAUAUUGAUUGUCAGUUAGUGCAGGCUGUCAGCCUGCCGUGGUUAACCUACCAGUUGUUGGAGAGACAAUCACGAGCAAUUAAGAAUCACAUUUUGCAGUUUCAAAUGCAUCCAUAUUGCCACUUCAUUCAAAAUCCUUUUUUUUUCCAUGUUGGAAAGUACAUUGGUGAGAGAGAGGGAAGGAGUUUUCUUUUUUCCUCCUGCCAACCAUAUUUUCAUUGCUGGCCAAAUUAAGAGAGAUAUAUAAUGCUCAUAAAGUUGCUGCAGUUUCUUGAUUAAAAUCUUACAUCCAGCACUCCUUUCAACAUCAAUCUAUAUUAAUAAGGAGGGAGCACAUUGCAUUGCAUGUCUCUGUGUUGUGCCUUAGACACAAAGCACCAGGGAAGCAUCAAGGAAAGAUUCAGCUGCAGAACCAGCAGUAGCACAAAGAGGAAAGGACUGUUCUUCAUGAGGACAGACCCUUGUGAUUUGAAACAAGAAAAUGGAUAGGAAGAUUAAAACCAAGAAGAGCCAAGGGCUUAGCAGCUGAAAUUACACCAGUGCAGCAGUUGUGGGAAUGGCUGGUGGAGUCAGGGUAGCAAAGAGCUGAAAUCAACCUGAGAAAAACAGCCCACGUGAGAUGAAAAUGGAGCACUACACAUUCCCAAAAUCAGAGUGCCUGGAAAGCCUGUGGCUCUUGCCACCUCUCUGCCAACCAUCCUUCAGGGCUUCAGUAGCUGGUGGCCCUUUAAAGAGAAAUAUCAGAGGCACUGGGUCUGGGCACACUCUCACCAUACCUCAAUUUGUCACAAAGCCUGUGCCAGGCACUAUGAACAUUAUGCUGUGACAAACUGUGCCUACUGUCACCUUAGCUGGUGGUUUCAGUCCAAACACCUGGGAACCAUCUCAACAUCAUAAACCAGCAUGACUUAGAAGGACUUUGGGCAAAGACAAAUCCUGCCUCCUUUUCCAGAACUAUUCCAUACAAAAUCAUUUCCUAAAAGCAGCAAAAAAUCCAUCAGUUCUUCAAAGACAGCACGCCACUCACAGCCUCAAAGGAGGUUACCAACCAUCAGAUGACUCCCACCAUGGGGUUUCUCCACACCCUAAACCUCAGAAGCCCUUCCUGUGCCUCUGUAACCCACCUCUCAUGACAUCCUUGUGUUCCCUGGGUCUAUAAUGCUCAGGGGAAUGGGACUGGGAGCAGCCCUUGCAGGUUUUGUUGGUGAGAAUAUGCGCCUUGCAGACACAUGGGGCUCUUCCUUAUACACAGGGAGAGCAAGAAAAUGUCAAGUCCUAAGCAAACCCAUAGACAUUGUUCAGAGAUUGUCAGGAGCAACCAGUAGAAAAUGUCACCACAUGCUUCACAGCUCAGAGGAUCAGAAAAAGAAGUUGGCUGUGACCCUGUCCUUGGGAAGGGUUUUUUCCCCACUCUGCACUCCAUUCCAAGAGCAUUAUAAGCCCCCCAAACACACUAAGCCAGCAAUGGACUUGAGCUGAGUCCCACAGAGCUGCUGUGGCAUUGCAGCACUAAUGGGUUAAUACAGAAAUCUUCAUGAUUUAGGAUCUCAGCAGAAGUAUUUCAGAAAGGAUGUGCAAUUUGGGUCAGGAGUACUGCAAAUGAAAGAUGCUCAAACUGGGGAAUCCAGAGAAAAAAGGGAAAUUAUGCAGCUGAAUAAUAUUGAAAAAUCAUUUCCUACAUGCAAAUGUACACAGGUUCUGAUACCAAGGCUGAUAUGAGUAUAGAAGUGAAGAGUUUCAUCUUUAGUAAGACUUUGUCAAUUCAAAACUUAGAUUAAAGGGAUUUCUGUGCAGUAGCUCUCUGACCAUCUUCACCUCUUCUCUGUACAAAACACAAGUUUGUGGUUUUACAAUCACAUUUUCCUAUUUUUAAAACAUGUUUUCUCUGCUGUCUUGCUCUGUGAGAAAGACAUUGAAAGUGCAAGAGAAACUGUCUCAACAGAGGAAACUGAAAUGGUUUCGUGCAUGACAUGUGAACGAGGGAACAAAGUAAACACUGACAAAAAUAGAAAGCAGUGCUUUAUUUUCUCUCUGAUCUUUCAUUUUUAGGGGAUAUUUGUGAUUACAGAGAACUUCCAACAUUUCAGGCAAAUGGGAAAUUUUUAAGCAACUGAUGUAAUAGAGAGUUUAGGUGUUAGCAUGCGAUGGAACAAUAUCUUAUUCUUCCUGACAGCAGGAUACAAAGAUUGUUUGUAUUUAGGACUCUUCCUGAACUGAGCAAGAGCAAUGGAGAAAUGGCUUUAAAUGGACUGCAGAUCUUUGCAGCACACUCCAUAACUCUGAUUGCUCUGUCUCUUUGAUUCAUCUAGGGUUAAGCAUUCAAGAAAACUUAACAUGUUUUUUUUCCCCCCUUCUCCUAUGUCUGUCUUUGAGCUGAGGAGGAGUUUUCUAUCAACUGAUUCAAGCUGUGGAAAAGUACCCUGAGCACCUCACUGUUAUUUAUGAUCCCCAAAAUCUUGUUCCUGUUACCAGAGAUGAGAAACUUGAGAAAAUCACUUGGUCUUAUGCUAAUCUCGAUCAAACUGUUGACACUGACAUUAAGCAAACAUACUGGGGUGUAAUUACAUUUCACACUGAUCUAUGAAAUAUUCAUGUAAUAAUAACGAAUACAUACAUGCAAUCCUACAAUAUCAUCAUCAUAAACUGUGGUCAAAUAUGUAUGAUAUUUGCAAUUCUUAUACCUUGUUCAUAUAAAUAAAUAUUCAUUAGAACUGAAACUAAUUACUGCAUGGUUGAUGACAGCUGAGAAUAUUAAGCACCACUACUGAAUUAUGCCUUCAAAGACAAUGAAAUGACAUUCAUUUUUAAGUUGGGUCAGUUUAUUUGUCCAGCUAUGAUAAUAUUUUUUUUCCAAUGGAAAUAAUAAUGUUUAUAGUAAUUAUCAUGACAAUGUCUAAGCAUUUUUUGUGACUAGUAAUCAAAUUAGGGAGCUGCAAGUGUCUGUAACUACAACAAUGUUAGUCUAUUUUCAUAUUUAAAAUUGGCCUUUCCCACAGCUCAUUCAAGUUUAUGUUCUAGCCACAUGUCCCACAGAUAAAUAAACAGAUGCUCUAUAUAAAGAGUUAGAUCAUAUUCUGAAUGAGUGAGGAACAUAUGUCAUCAUUAAGGGAAGCUUCAGUGCCAACACUGGCAUUAAGGUAGAGGAAAGAAAACAAGGAGGAACUUGAAAUAGAGCAACAUAAUCCCAAGGAAGUUGUCAAAACCAGAAGAGAGGUUAUUUGUGCUAGAGUUGGCAAGAAAAUGUUGUUCUGCAGUUUUUACUGAAAAACAAAAGAAUAGCUAGAGGAAAUUUUGAUUUUUAAUUAAAAAACAUCCUCUGUUGUUGGUAGUUCUGGCCUGGAACCAGAGAGUAUGUUUUUUUACCUUAACAUGCCAAAUCCCUAUGUUUUGUUUGCGCUGAACUUUUUGUGCAGUGUUUGAGGUGCUCAGUAAAAACAAGAAAACAAA